AACGCAUAUGGCACCUUUUGGUUCAUACUAAAAGGUAUGCCUGUUUGAGAAUCAUUUAUCCUUUAUUGAUCCAUUUGAUCAUUACAUUUGAUUGUGAAUGAAUGAAUGGUAUCAGACAUGGGCAUUCAUCAUUGAUUGUCUUGAAUUGUGUAAAUAAUGUGAUUGUGUUGUGAUAAACAGAAAUGUAUGAAAUGAAUAAAUGAAUCUGGUGAUUGUUCAUUAUGAAUGAUUAUUUUGUCAUUUGUUUCUUCAUCCAUUGAUCAACCAAUCACAUCCUUUUCUUUUUGUUGAUGAUCUCAAAUCAGGCAAGACUACCCGCUGAACUUAA
rnacentral:misc_RNA from 1 species